rnacentral:rRNA from 1 species
UACAACGCACUACCUGUUCAUAGUAGUCGUUGCUGUAAACAGCACACUGCUCACCAUCCACGCAGGGGACUCCAUCUUCUACACAGACUGGGCGUGGACGUCCUUCGUUGUGUUCUCGGUGCCGCCGGCAACGAUGCUAGCAGUAAGCGCCAUCUACUUCAUGUUCUGCAGCGGUGGUCCACGAACCGAACCGCGUUGUACCCACAGUUUUCCGCUUUACACAUGGGUGUCUAAGCGCGCGUGUCUCUGACAUGUAUACCCAUUCGACUUCGUCGCGCGCCAAGUAGAAACAAGCACGAUGCCGUACUGAUUGGCGGUACGCUGGUUGGCCUAUCCUUCCCGCGGUUCAACAUGGUGAACCAGUUGCGUGUAAGGGACCCGCUCGGGGUGGCAUUCAAGUAUCCGAGACCGACUCUGCCCGCGUACAUGACGCCUGUAGAGCCUCAGGUAGGGAAGUUCUACAACUCGCCUGUCGCCCUGGGUUCAGGUGCCGGUGCAGUGCUAACGGUACCCAUCGCUGCGUUGGGUGCAAAACUAAACACGUGG